rnacentral:rRNA from 1 species
GAUGAACGCUGGCGGCGUGCCUAAUACAUGCAAGUCGAACGCGAGAGGAGGGAGCUUGCUCCCUCUGAUCGAGUGGCGGACGGGUGAGUAACACGUAGGCAACCUGCCCAUCAGCCGGGGAUAACUGCGGGAAACCGUGGCUAAUACCGGAUAAUCCUCUCCACCGCGGGGUGGGGAGUUGAAAGACGGUUUCGGCUGUCGCUUAUGGAUGGGCCUGCGGCGCAUUAGCUGGUUGGCGGGGUAACGGCCCACCAAGGCAACGAUGCGUAGCCGACCUGAGAGGGUGAUCGGCCACACUGGGACUGAGACACGGACCAGACUCCUACGGGAGGCAGCAGUAAGGAAUAUUGGACAAUAGGGGCAACCCUGAUCCAGCCAUGCCGCGUGAAGGAUGAAGGCGCUAUGCGUCGUAAACUUCUUUUGUACGGGAAAAAUUCCCCGAUUUCUAUCGGGGUUGAUUGUACCGUAAGAAUAAGGGUCGGCUAACUUCGUGCCAGCAGCCGCAGUAA